UACAGAGGGUGCGAGCGUUGUCCGGAAUUAUUGGGCGUAAAGGGCUCGUAGGCGGUUUGUCACGUCGGGAGUGAAAACUCGGGGCUUAACCCCGAGCCUGCUUCCGAUACGGGCUGACUAGAGGUAUGCAGGGGAGAACGGAAUUCCUGGUGUAGCGGUGAAAUGCGCAGAUAUCAGGAGGAACACCGGUGGCGAAGGCGGUUCUCUGGGCAUUACCUGACGCUGAGGAGCGAAAGUGUGGGGAGCGAACAGG
rnacentral:rRNA from 1 species